AUACGGAGGGGGCUAGCGUUGUUCGGAAUUACUGGGCGUAAAGCGCGCGUAGGCGGAUUGAUCAGUCAGAGGUGAAAUCCCAGGGCUCAACCCUGGAACUGCCUUUGAUACUGUCAGUCUUGAGUUCGAGAGAGGUGAGUGGAAUUCCGAGUGUAGAGGUGAAAUUCGUAGAUAUUCGGAGGAACACCAGUGGCGAAGGCGGCUCACUGGCUCGAUACUGACGCUGAGGUGCGAAAGCGUGGGGAGCAAACAGGAUUAGAAACCCCUGUAGUCC
rnacentral:rRNA from 1 species